AAAGGGAGACCUAAUUCAGGUAGGAGACGAAAAAAAAGUAGUCCCUACCAAGAAUCAAUCCCAAAAGGUCGGAGCGAGGCAAAAUUGGCUUUCAAACUAGGUUCUGGGUUCACACAAGACCUGAAUCAGGAACAAGGGCUAUUAGCUCAGGUGGUUAGAGCGCACCCCUGAUAAGGGUGAGGUCCCUGGUUCGAGUCCAGGAUGGCCCACCUGCACAGGUGGCAAAAACAAAGAAGCGAGGAAUCAGCACCUUAUCUUACUUAUAUAGUAAGAGAGAAUGCUGGCUCUGAGUAAAGAGUCCAGAGGAACCUUGAAAACUGCAUAGAGCUAGGUGAAAAAGCCAAAAAAGAAGACCGCAAG
rnacentral:tRNA from 1 species